UACGUAGGCAGCGAGCGUUGUUCGGAAUUACUGGGCGUAAAGAGUGUGUAGGCGGUGCUCUAAGUUCGGUGUGAAAUCUCCUGGCUUAACUGGGAGGGUGCGCCGGAAACUGGAGUGCUUGAGCGUGGGAGAGGAAAGCGGAAUUCCUGGUGUAGCGGUGAAAUGCGUAGAUAUCAGGAGGAACACCUGUGGUGUAGACGGCUUUCUGGACCAUAGCUGACGCUGAGACCCGAAAGCGUGGGUAGCAAACAGG
rnacentral:rRNA from 1 species